rnacentral:rRNA from 1 species
UACGUAGGAGGCAAGCGUUGUCCGGAAUUACUGGGCGUAAAGCGCGUGUAGGUGGUGGGACAAGUCUGCUGUGAAAGCGCCUGGCUUAACCGGGCGAGGUCGGCGGAAACUGUCGCACUCGAGGACGGCAGAGGGGGGUGGAAUUCCCGGUGUAGUGGUGAAAUGUGUAGAUAUAUGGAAGAACAUCAAUAACGGCGAAGGCAGUUAACUAUUCUGUUACUGACGUUGAGGCACGAAGGCGUGGGGAGCAAAAAGG